rnacentral:rRNA from 1 species
GCAAGUCGAACGAUGAUGCCCAGCUUGCUGGGCGGAUUAGUGGCGAACGGGUGAGUAAUACGUGAGUAACCUGCCCUUGACUCUGGGAUAAGCCUGGGAAACUGGGUCUAAUACUGGAUACUACCUCUUACCGCAUGGUGGGUGGUGGAAAGGGUUUUACUGGUUUUGGAUGGGCUCACGGCCUAUCAGCUUGUUGGUGGGGUAAUGGCUCACCAAGGCGACGACGGGUAGCCGGCCUGAGAGGGUGACCGGCCACACUGGGACUGAGACACGGCCCAGACUCCUACGGGAGGCAGCAGUGGGGAAUAUUGCACAAUGGGCGGAAGCCUGAUGCAGCGACGCCGCGUGAGGGAUGACGGCCUUCGGGUUGUAAACCUCUUUCAGUAGGGAAGAAGCGAGAGUGACGGUACCUGCAGAAGAAGCGCCGGCUAACUACGUGCCAGCAGCCGCGGUAAUACGUAGGGCGCAAGCGUUGUCCGGAAUUAUUGGGCGUAAAGAGCUCGUAGGCGGUUUGUCGCGUCUGCUGUGAAAGCCCGGGGCUCAACCCCGGGUCUGCAGUGGGUACGGGCAGACUAGAGUGCAGUAGGGGAGACUGGAAUUCCUGGUGUAGCGGUGAAAUGCGCAGAUAUCAGGAGGAACACCGAUGGCGAAGGCAGGUCUCUGGGCUGUUACUGACGCUGAGGAGCGAAAGCAUGGGGAGCGAACAGGAUUAGAUACCCUGGUAGUCCAUGCCGUAAACGUUGGGCACUAGGUGUGGGGGACAUUCCACGUUUUCCGCGCCGUAGCUAACGCAUUAAGUGCCCCGCCUGGGGAGUACGGCCGCAAGGCUAAAACUCAAAGGAAUUGACGGGGGCCCGCACAAGCGGCGGAGCAUGCGGAUUAAUUCGAUGCAACGCGAAGAACCUUACCAAGGCUUGACAUUCACCGGACCGCCCCAGAGAUGGGGUUUCCCUUCGGGGCUGGUGGACAGGUGGUGCAUGGUUGUCGUCAGCUCGUGUCGUGAGAUGUUGGGUUAAGUCCCGCAACGAGCGCAACCCUCGUUCUAUGUUGCCAGCACGUGAUGGUGGGGACUCAUAGGAGACUGCCGGGGUCAACUCGGAGGAAGGUGGGGAUGACGUCAAAUCAUCAUGCCCCUUAUGUCUUGGGCUUCACGCAUGCUACAAUGGCCGGUACAAAGGGUUGCGAUACUGUGAGGUGGAGCUAAUCCCAAAAAGCCGGUCUCAGUUCGGAUUGAGGUCUGCAACUCGACCUCAUGAAGUCGGAGUCGCUAGUAAUCGCAGAUCAGCAACGCUGCGGUGAAUACGUUCCCGGGCCUUGUACACACCGCCCGUCAAGUCACGAAAGUUGGUAACACCCGAAGCCGGUGGCCUAACCCC